AUGGCAGCGACGCGGCGGGUGCUAGUGCUCUGCCGCCUCUCGCCGGCCUCCCUCGCCGCCCUCGCCGCCCGCUUCAGCCUCCUCGACCGCCACGCCUCGCCGCUCUCGAUGGAAGCCUUCCUCGCCGCCGCGGCCGCCGCCGCCGACCCACCGCGCUUGGCCCUCGUCCCGGGCGGGGGCGUCCGCGUCGAUGCGGCUUUCCUGGACGCCCUACCGUCGCUGCGCUGCGUCGUCACGGUCAGUGCAGGCCUGAACCACAUCGACCUCCCCGAGUGCGCGCGCCGCGGCGUCGCCGUGGCCAACGCGGCCGGGGUCUACUCCUCGGACGUCGCGGACCACGCCGUCGGCCUGCUCAUCGACGUGCUCCGGCGCGUAUCGGUCGCCGACAGGUACGUGCGGCGGGGGCUCUGGCCGGAGCGCGGCGACUUCCUGCCCCUCGGGUCCAGGCUCCGCGGGAAGCGCGUGGGCGUCGUCGGCCUCGGCAGCAUCGGGUCGGCGGUCGCGAGGAGGCUGGAGGCAUUCGGCUGCGUCGUCUCCUACCACUCCCGCCGCCGGAAACACGACGUCUCCUACUGCUACCACCCCGCGGUGCGCGACCUCGCGGCGUGCUCCGACGUGCUCGUCGUCGCGUGCGCGUUGACGGCCGAGACCCAUCACGUCGUCGACAGGCGCGUGCUGGACGAGCUGGGGAGCGGCGGCGUGGUGGUGAACGUGGCGCGCGGCCCGAACGUGGACGAGGCGGAGCUGGUGAGGGCGCUCGCGGAGGGCAGGCUCGCGGGCGCCGGGCUGGACGUGUUCGAGGACGAGCCGGACGUGCCGGCGGAGCUGCUGGCCAUGGACAACGUCGUGCUGACGCCCCACCGGGCCGCGUUCACCCCGGAGUCCAUAGCCGACCUCGACCGCCUCGUUGCCGGCAACCUGGAGGCCUUCUUCGCCGGCGCACCGCUGCUUACGCCCGUCGUCGUCUCCGGCUGA
rnacentral:rRNA from 1 species